AUGGACAUUAAAUCUGCCUUCUUUAAGGGAAUGGAGCUGUCAAGAGACAUUUAUCUUCGUCCCCCACCUGAAGCUGGCAAGGACAAUGUUCUAUGGAAACUGAAAAAGUGUGUUUAUGGACUUGCAGAUGCUUCACUUUAUUGGUACAAUAAGGUCAAAGACAUUAUGCUCAAAACUGGUGGUAAAAUAUCACAGGUUGAUCCUGCAGUGUUCUAUUGGCAGAAUGAACAAUCUGAGAUUACAGGAGUACUUGCAUGUCAUGUUGAUGAUUUCCUUUGGGCUGGUUCAAGUCACUUUGCAACUCAUAUCAUUCCUGUACUGAAAUCUACCUUCCUCGUGGGCCGUGAAGAACAUGACAGCUUUUCUUAUGUUGGUAUGGACAUUUGUACAGUUAAUGAUGUAAUAGAGGUGCAUCAACAACUUUACAUUGACAACCUACAACCGGUUCAGUUACAAGCAGCUCGGGCUGUACAGAGGGAUGCUUCCUUAAGUGAAACGGAAUGUGAGCAACUCAGGUCAAAAAUAGGACAGAUUUUGUGGGUUGCCAAACAAACGACGAGGCCUGAUGUUAUGUUUGACACAUGUAGCCUUGGAUCUAAUAUCAAAGAUGCAACCGUACAGUCUAUUCAUGAAGUGAACAAAGUUAUCCGUAAACUUAAGGCAGAGAAAGUGACUCUUAAGUUUCAGCACUUGGGUAACAGUGAGGAUUUGGCAUUGGUUGUUUUCAGUGAUGCUUCAUUUGGCAACCUUCCUGAUGGCGGUACUCAAGGAGGGGCAUUAAUCGUCCUUAUGGGUAAAGGAGGAAAGUUUUGUCCUCUCUUUUGGCAGUCUAAAAAAAUCAGGCGUGUGGUCAGAAGUACACUGGCAGGAGAAACUCUUGCCAUGUCAGAUGGAAUAGACAGUGCUGUCUUCCUGGCAACACUUUUUUCUGAGCUUACAACUGGUAACACUGGUCUGAACGCUCUUCCUUUGAUCUGUGUGACUGACAAUCAUUCCUUGUUUGAUGCACUCAAGUCUACGAAGCAGGUUACAGAGAGGAGACUGAGGCUAGAAAUGAGCAGCAUUAAAAAGCUCAUACAAGCCAAGAAAAUCAGACAGGUUUGUUGGUCAGAUUCAAAAUCCCAACUUGCUGAUUGUCUGACAAAAAAGGGAGUUUCACCUUUAACCCUUCUAAAGGCACUAGAUGAAGGACUCUGGAUAAUGUGA
rnacentral:lncRNA from 1 species